rnacentral:rRNA from 1 species
UGACAAACUACCUUUGAUCCGGGAAUAUCCGAAUGGGGCAACCCCUUCGACGUUAGUCGAAGAGUUUCCAAUCUUCUACUUGGCUAUUAAUAAGUAGGACGCGGUCUUAACAAAAUAAGAAGACAAGCGUUUAAAGUAUCUUGCGAUGUUAAUAGUCAGAUGGAAGAUUGGGAACUGGGAACCUGUCGAACUGAAACAUCUUAGUAGACAGAGGAAAAGAAAUCAAAUAGAGAUUCCGUAAGUAGCGGCGAGCGAACGCGGAAAAGCCUUAAUUAUUUACAGAUUUAUAUAAUUAGUUGAAUGUCCCUGGAAAGGGCGACCAUAGAGGGUGAUAGUCCUGUAAACGAAAAUUAUAUAAAUUUAUGAAAAUAGUUCGUUCCGACGUUUCGUCGGAAUAGAAAGUAGGUCUAGACACGUGAAAUCUAGACUGAAGAAUCUCGUCUUCGGACGAGAGUAGGUGGAUCAUCAUCUAAGGCUAAAUACUUUUUAUGACCGAUAGUGAACUAGUACCGUGAGGGAAAGGUGAAAAGUACCCCGUAGCGGGGAGUGAAAUAGUACCUGAAACCAUAUACUUACAAGGAGUCAGAGACGUUUGUCAUUUAUGAUAGACGUUCAUGGCGUGCCUUUUGAAGAAUGAGCCAACGAGUUAAUGCUUGUAGUUUGCCGAAGUACUUCUGGUACGAAGGCCGAGCGAAAGCGAGUAGUAAAUCUGCGUUUAUUGCAAGUAUUAGACCCGAAACCGGGUGAUCUAUCCAUGAUCAGGAUGAACCUUACCUAACAGUAAGGGGAGGUCCGAACCCACGUCAGUUACAAAUGGCGGGGAUGAAUUGUGGAUAGGGGAGAAAUUCCAAUCGAACCCGGAGAUAGCUGGUUCUCCUCGAAAUAUAUUUUGGUAUAGCCUCAUGCGCAACCCUGGGGGUAGAGCACUGAAUGGAACGUACAGGAGUAAUCCUGUGCUUCUUAUCAAACUUCGAAUACCAGGCGUUAGGCAUUGGGAGUCAGUCCGUGAGGGCUAAGCUUCAUUGGACAAAAGGGAAACAACCCAGACCGUCAUCUAAGGUCCCUAAAUUGUAGCUAAGUGGGAAAGGAAGUGUUUAAGCUCAGACAACUAGGAGGUUGGCUUAGAAGCAGCCAUCCUUUAAAGAAAGCGUAACAGCUCACUAGUCAAGGUUGAAUGCGCCGAAAAUUUAACGGGGCUAAAGCUACAUACCGAAGAUACGGGAAUCGUGCAUGGCAUAGAGUUUUUAAUAUUUUUAAAGACUGUGUGCUGUGUGCGGUUCGGUAGAGGAGCGUUCUAAAUGCGCUGAAGCCAAAGAUGUAAAUCAUGGUGGAGCGUUUAGAAGUGAGAAUGUUGGCACAAGUACACGAAUUAGGCAGACGAGAAAUCUGCCCACCAAAAAUCCAAGGUUUCCCGGGCAACGAUAAUCGGCCCGGGGUUAGUCGGUCCUAACCUAUUUUAAUGGGGAUGGCCAGCAGGUUGAUAUUCCUGCACUUUCAAAAACUUACCUUUAUCCGACUCUUUUUCAAGCUUGAUAGCUCAUAUGGUUAUGGUCUAUUGGGGGCGAAAGAGACAAGAAAAAGAUAAAGUCAAUUAUUUUUGGAAACCGUACCGCAAACCGACGCAGGUGGAUGGGGUGAGAAUCCUAAGGUGAUCGAGCGAACCCUCGUUAAGGAACUCGGCAAAAAAGCGUCCGUAACUUCGGGAUAAGGGCUGCCCACAACUCGCAAGAGUGGGUGGGCCGCAGCAAACGUUUUUCAGGCGACUGUUUACCAAAAACACAGGUCUCUGCAAACCCAUCGUGGGGAAGUAUAGGGGCUGACGCCUGUCCAGUGCUAGAAGGUUAUGGGAAUAGUUGAUUUUAUCUUCGGAUAAAUGAGGCUUGAACUUAAGCCCUAGUGAACGACAGCGAUAACUAUAAUCGUUCUAAGGUAGCGAAAUUCCUUGUCGGGUAAGUUCCGACCCGCAUCAAUGGCGUAACGGUCUGAAAACUGUCUCAACGAGG